rnacentral:rRNA from 1 species
UUUGGUCGCCAACGAGUGGCGGACGGGUGAGUAACACGUAGGUAACCUGCCCAGAAGCGGGGGACAACAUUUGGAAACAGAUGCUAAUACCGCAUAACAGCGUUGUUCGCAUGAACAACGCUUAAAAGAUGGCUUCUCGCUAUCACUUCUGGAUGGACCUGCGGUGCAUUAGCUUGUUGGUGGGGUAACGGCCUACCAAGGCGAUGAUGCAUAGCCGAGUUGAGAGACUGAUCGGCCACAAUGGGACUGAGACACGGCCCAUACUCCUACGGGAGGCAGCAGUAGGGAAUCUUCCACAAUGGGCGCAAGCCUGAUGGAGCAACACCGCGUGAGUGAAGAAGGGUUUCGGCUCGUAAAGCUCUGUUGUUAAAGAAGAACACGUAUGAGAGUAACUGUUCAUACGUUGACGGUAUUUAACCAGAAAGUCACGGCUAACUACGUGCCAGCAGCCGCGGUAAUACGUAGGUGGCAAGCGUUAUCCGGAUUUAUUGGGCGUAAAGAGAGUGCAGGCGGUUUUCUAAGUCUGAUGUGAAAGCCUUCGGCUUAACCGGAGAAGUGCAUCGGAAACUGGAUAACUUGAGUGCAGAAGAGGGUAGUGGAACUCCAUGUGUAGCGGUGGAAUGCGUAGAUAUAUGGAAGAACACCAGUGGCGAAGGCGGCUACCUGGUCUGCAACUGACGCUGAGACUCGAAAGCAUGGGUAGCGAACAGGAUUAGAUACCCUGGUAGUCCAUGCCGUAAACGAUGAGUGCUAGGUGUUGGAGGGUUUCCGCCCUUCAGUGCCGGAGCUAACGCAUUAAGCACUCCGCCUGGGGAGUACGACCGCAAGGUUGAAACUCAAAGGAAUUGACGGGGGCCCGCACAAGCGGUGGAGCAUGUGGUUUAAUUCGAAGCUACGCGAAGAACCUUACCAGGUCUUGACAUCUUGCGCCAACCCUAGAGAUAGGGCGUUUCCUUCGGGAACGCAAUGACAGGUGGUGCAUGGUCGUCGUCAGCUCGUGUCGUGAGAUGUUGGGUUAAGUCCCGCAACGAGCGCAACCCUUGUUACUAGUUGCCAGCAUUAAGUUGGGCACUCUAGUGAGACUGCCGGUGACAAACCGGAGGAAGGUGGGGACGACGUCAGAUCAUCAUGCCCCUUAUGACCUGGGCUACACACGUGCUACAAUGGACGGUACAACGAGUCGCGAACUCGCGAGGGCAAGCAAAUCUCUUAAAACCGUUCUCAGUUCGGACUGCAGGCUGCAACUCGCCUGCACGAAGUCGGAAUCGCUAGUAAUCGCGGAUCAGCAUGCCGCGGUGAAUACGUUCCCGGGCCUUGUACACACCGCCCGUCACACCAUGAGAGUUUGUAACACCCAAAGUCGGUGGGGUAACCUUUUAGGAGCCAGCCGCCUAAG